rnacentral:sRNA from 1 species
CGACAAGCACUGGCCGACUAAAACCGCCGCGUCCUGCGGCAACGUCGGCACUAGGACGUCCUGUACG